CAUCUAUCAAAUGGUACGUAAUAAAAACGUAUCUGUACGAGAGAUGCACCAUCUAAAAGAAAUUUAUCAGCAUGUGGACUUUAAACGUUGGUUGUUACUUGUUGUAUAUUGAAUCGUUGAUGUCACAACUCCUGCGGAGUAACACCUACCGUCUUAAGCCACCAAACGACAUUCCACUGAAUUUGAGAAAAGGCGAGUAUGAGAAACCAUACGUGCAAACCAAAAGAACACCGUAAUGGGACGCUAGAUGCUUCACAUGCCGGUGAGACGCACGUGUUUAAUAAUGCGGACACCUCUUCCAUCAAUGACGAUGGUAUCUGAAUCUGUCACACCGAUCCUUCCAUUAUCGAUUGACAUCAUUUUGCGGGGCACAAAGUCGGGACAGAUCGGAUAUUUCCCAAAUGCUAAAUAGAUCAGCACAGAUACAAAAUAUAGGAUUGUAUCUACAGCGUUCUCAAGCGUAGUCUGAUGACACUUACGGUCGGCGAUAUGUUUUGGGGCAACAUGUGCAACGCCUGUUGUGUGAAUGCUUCUGAUGUGUUGAACACACAGUGAAAGUGGCUCCACGUGCAAAUUCCGGAAGUAGCUGCUCAUCGAACACGGCUUGGAACUGUCUGUGUAGAAAUGAUUUGUCUCAGUACUUCUUAACCAAACACCAGCGUCUAAACGACGGUAAUAUUAAUGAUGUUUUUCGGAAGAAGUUUUUCACCAACAGCCGCCUGAAUAAUCACAUGAACGUAAACAGGUGAGCGACGUUAUUCUCGUGCACCAUCUGCGACCGGAAUUUCUCCAAAACAGUUUUCUCUGACGCAGCAGUACUGAUACCAUAGAGACAAUGAUAGUUUUUAUUGCGUCUACUUCGCACUGAAACAGCACGUGUGAUUGCGCGGAACACGGGAGACUUUUUACUGGCAGUUUAUGAUCAAAGUGAAACUGCAUUUGUGCUCACAUAGAUAGUCCAUAACACUGGUCAUGUACGCUUAUUCUUAACUGGAAUCGUUUCAAAACAUAUAAUUAUUAUUUCGAAUAAUGUUCUUACACGGUAUGCAUGUCCAUGCUUUCAAAUGCAUGCAUUAGUUUAAACGCAUGACGUUAUUUUUUCACACUGUUUCAGAAUUAAACAUAAUGUGUAUAGUACGUUAUUAGGAAACACUUA